GGGCCGGUGAUCGCGUUGUCAUGGCAGCGGGGUUCAAUCCCAGAGCGAGCCUCAGGCUGUUUGCAGAGAGAGAGAGAAAACAACCACAGUAAAUCUCUUUCGACGGCUUUCCUUGAGGAUAUGAAUUGAAGGUUGUCUUUAAGCAAAGAGGAACUCAUUCAGAUUGGUGAUGCAAAACUUCUGGCCACAGCUGUGCAGUACACAACCCAAGCUGCAGCUGGUGGACGGCCAGGCCUCUUACAUUGGAUGGCGCGGAGUCUGGGUACGAAGGAGGGAGAGCCGGACGCAAGGUCCAGGAAGUUCUUCCUCUUGUCCAUUCCAGGAGACGCCUGCACCGUGAUCUUGUGUUUGAAAUCUGACAAAUCGAGAGAGAAAAAUAAACGACGCAUAAAGAAACUUCAAUGAAA